ACGAAGUUGGGUCCCCUGUGGGCCCAAUCUCCAACCCUCUGUCUACCUGAAACUCCUGUUGCUUUGGCGGGCCGUCGGGUUCGACCCACCGUCGGCUCUGGCUGAUGUGUGCCCGCCAGAGUCAAUCUUACAACCCUUUUUAUUCUGACGUCUGAGUGGAAUAUGAAAUUAUCA
rnacentral:misc_RNA from 1 species